GUGCAGGCUUCCGUAGCGCGUGCGGGUUUGUAGCCACGUGCGGAGCGGUGACGCAUACCAGCGUCGCGCCUUGCAUGUUUUCGGGGACUAGAGGCGUUGACGGAUCUCGUGGGAACCUGGUUCGAAAAAGGAUUUGUGCACCAUAAAGAUAAGGGUGUCUGGCUGCAGUUUCCCGCCGGAGACCUCUUGCUCAGGUUGGACGCUUGUGCACUUCGCGAUGAAGUUCUGCAGUGUACCCGUGCAGGAAAUAGCAUAUGGGCAAAGUGGACUCCUUUGUGGAAGUGCGACUCGAGUUUGAUGAAGCUGAAGAACCAUAUGACAAGAAAUUUAGUGCGCGGGUCAGCAGUUGGAGCAGAUUUUUGGGUACGGCACGGGCCGGACUCCUGGUUGUUCCCGGCACCGUGUGUCAGUGAUAACAGCGGCACGCUUCGUGCGUACGUGAAUUGCACCCCUUGCUGCCGGUAGCACCCUCACGGAUUUCGAAGACUGACACCGCAGAGUAUGGAACGGAAAAUUUAUUUUUGCCCUGUCUAGUGACAGUGCGAGCUGGCUAUUCCGGCUACUUGAGCAGACUGGUACCGCUGCCGCUGUCUACCUGAAAAACAGGAAUUUGUAUCCGGUAGACUCGUUGGCUAUUGCACUGCAAUUUGCUCCGGCUGAUUCCAGCGCUCAGGAACGACGCGCGCUGUAUACGGGAAGCAAGCCGGAGAACAAGACCUUUUUCAACACUAAGUGACGCUCGAGUUCAGCUUCUUGAAACGCCUCAGGGCGCGCGUGAAGGCCCGAGAACGUCACGUUUCGAGAAACGCCAUCGAUGGCUCCAUUACUGAUGAGAUUUCUCCUGGUGAACGAACCGUGAAUAUGUUGGAGUUUCUCCGGAGCCGCUUUUAUCGUUGGUGGACACGGUAUUAUUGUACAACUGCACCGCAAACCUUUUCACGUUGCACGUCCUCCCGAGCAAUGCACUCCUUGGGUACUAAGGUUGCAUUGCUCGUGCAACGCUGUGGCGGUGACGUGUACUGCACGUGCAUGCUCACGUACUAGUUACGUCACCAAUGACGCAGUGCGCAAACAGGACUGCUUUUUGUUGCCUUUGCGUGCGUUGGCUCCAGAUGUAGAACAUCAGGCUCCGGGUCGAUACGCGCUAUGCGCAUAUAGGCCUGCUGGAGGAGGCACAGAACAGUACGCUGUGAGCGUUCGAUAACAAGGACAGCAUGGGCGAUCAUUCGAUGUGAAUGCAGCGGACUGUGCUUGGAUCGUGCCUCGCUGGACGGUAACAAGGCGUCUACAGAAGAGAUGUCUGCCUGGAUGCGAUGUCACUGCAGACCGGCAAUGCAAUCGCUCGACAUCAAGACUUGCUGCGUUGGCGUGAUCCGUCCCUGUGAUCUGUUGGUACGCUCCGAGCGUGCGGGUCUGGUCUCGUGUUUGCAUCGCUUUCCUCGAAAGAGCAUAGCGACGCUCUAGGCCAACAGGCCAUGUUUCCGAUAUCCUCUGGUUGGAAAGCGAAUGCAUAAGAUGCUCCUGGUCGCUACUUUGAGCGAUGAUUUUUGAUUGGGUCCAAAGCAUCGAUCGACAGCGGCGGCAGGAGGAGACGUUGCGUGUGUUUGCGGUUCGGAGAUCGUCCUCAUGAAGCGCAUAAAGUGCGCCCUGAAGCAUCUUCUCAGCUGUCACAUGCACUGCUUUGGUGCGACGUGCACCAGAUGGAGUCUCUGUGCGCGCUCACGACACCAGCUCAUGCCGCAAACUGGCUGUAACAUUCGGUUAUUUGUAAUGAAAACGUCACCGGCUUCAUUCCGAAUGACUGCAUGUCGUG